rnacentral:rRNA from 1 species
UACAGAGGUCUCAAGCGUUGUUCGGAUUCAUUGGGCGUAAAGGGUGCGUAGGCGGCGCGGUAAGUCGGAUGUGAAAUCUCGGAGCUUAACUUCGAAACUGCAUUCGAUACUGCCGUGCUUGAGGACUGGAGAGGAGACUGGAAUUUACGGUGUAGCGGUGAAAUGCGUAGAUAUCGUAAGGAAGACCAGUGGCGAAGGCGGGUCUCUGGACAGUUCCUGACACUGAGACACGAAGGCCAGGGGGAGCAAACAGG